rnacentral:rRNA from 1 species
UACGUAGGUGGCAAGCGUUGUCCGGAUUUAUUGGGCGUAAAGCGAGCGCAGGCGGUUUCUUAAGUCUGAUGUGAAAGCCCCCGGCUUAACCGGGGAGGGUCAUUGGAAACUGAGGAACUUGAGUGCAGAAGAGGAGAGUGGAAUUCCAUGUGUAGCGGUGAAAUGCGUAGAUAUAUGGAGGAACACCAGUGGCGAAGGCGACUCUCUGGUCUGUAACUGACGCUGAGGCUCGAAAGCGUGGGGAGCAAACAGG